rnacentral:rRNA from 1 species
UACGUAGGGCGCAAGCGUUGUCCGGAAUUACUGGGCGUAAAGGGCGCGUAGGCGGCCCUCCUAGUCGCGUGUGAAAUCCCCGGGCUCAACCUGGGAACUGCAUUUGUGACUGCACGGCUCGAGUGCGGCAGAGGGGGAUGGAAUUCCGCGUGUAGCAGUGAAAUGCGCAGAUAUCGGGAGGAACACCGGUGGCGAAGGCGGUUCUCUGGGCCUUACCUGACGCUGAGGAGCGAAAGCGUGGGGAGCGAACAGG